rnacentral:rRNA from 1 species
GACGAACGCUGGCGGCGUGCUUAACACAUGCCAGUCGAGCGGAAAGGCCCUUUCGGGGGUACUCGAGCGGCGAACGGGUGAGUAACACGUGAGUAAUCUGCCCUUCACUUGGGGAUAACCUCCGGAAACGGUGGCUAAUACCCGAUACGACCAUUCCUCGCAUGAGGUGGUGGUGGAAAGUUUUUCGGUGGGGGAUGUGCUCGCGGCCUAUCAGCUUGUUGGUGGGGUAAUGGCCUACCAAGGCUUCGACGGGUAGCCGGCCUGAGAGGGUGACCGGCCACACUGGGACUGAGACACGGCCCAGACUCCUACGGGAGGCAGCAGUGGGGAAUAUUGGACAAUGGGCGGAAGCCUGAUCCAGCAACGCCGCGUGAGGGAUGACGGCCUUCGGGUUGUAAACCUCUUUCACCUGUGACGAAGCGAAAGUGACGGUAGCAGGAGAAGAAGCAUCGGCCAACUACGUG